ACUCCUACGGGAGGCAGCAGUGGGGAAUAUUGCACAAUGGGCGCAAGCCUGAUGCAGCCAUGCCGCGUGUAUGAAGAAGGCCUUCGGGUUGUAAAGUACUUUCAGCAGUGAGGAAGGUGGGUAUGUUAAUAGCAUAUUCAUUUGACGUUAGCUGCAGAAGAAGCACCGGCUAACUCCGUGCCAGCAGCCGCGGUAAUACGGAGGGUGCGAGCGUUAAUCGGAAUUACUGGGCGUAAAGCGCAUGCAGGUGGUUUGUUAAGUCAGAUGUGAAAGCCCGGGGCUCAACCUCGGAAUUGCAUUUGAAACUGGCAAACUAGAGUACUGUAGAGGGGGUAGAAUUUCAGGUGUAGCGGUGAAAUGCGUAGAGAUCUGAAGGAAUACCUGUGGCGAAGGCGGCCCCCUGGACAGAUACUGACACUCAGAUGCGAAAGCGUGGGGAGCAAACAGGAUUAGAUACCCUGGUAG
rnacentral:rRNA from 1 species